rnacentral:rRNA from 1 species
UGAGGAAUAUUGGUCAAUGGGCGGGAGCCUGAACCAGCCAAGUCGCGUGAGGGAAGACGGUCCUAUGGAUUGUAAACCUCUUUUGUCGGGGAGCAAAGAGACCACGUGUGGUCAAAAGCGAGAGUACCCGAAGAAAAAGCAUCGGCUAACUCCGUGCC